AGGAUGAACGCUGGCGGCGUGCCUAAUACAUGCAAGUCGAGCGAACUUUUGGGAGCUUGCUCCCAAAAGUUAGCGGCGGACGGGUGAGUAACACGUGGGCAACCUGCCUAUAAGACUGGGAUAACUUCGGGAAACCGGAGCUAAUACCGGAUAACAUAUGAGACCACAUGGUCUCAUAUUAAAAGAUGGCUUUUAGCUAUCACUUAUAGAUGGGCCCGCGGCGCAUUAGCUAGUUGGUGAGGUAAUGGCUCACCAAGGCGACGAUGCGUAGCCGACCUGAGAGGGUGAUCGGCCACACUGGGACUGAGACACGGCCCAGACUCCUACGGGAGGCAGCAGUAGGGAAUCUUCCGCAAUGGACGAAAGUCUGACGGAGCAACGCCGCGUGAGCGAAGAAGGUCUUCGGAUCGUAAAGCUCUGUUGUUAGGGAAGAACAAGUACCGUUCGAAUAGGGCGGUACCUUGACGGUACCUAACCAGAAAGCCACGGCUAACUACGUGCCAGCAGCCGCGGUAAUACGUAGGUGGCAAGCGUUAUCCGGAAUUAUUGGGCGUAAAGCGCGCGCAGGCGGUCCUUUAAGUCUGAUGUGAAAGCCCACGGCUCAACCGUGGAGGGUCAUUGGAAACUGGGGGACUUGAGUGCAGAAGAGGAGAGCGGAAUUCCACGUGUAGCGGUGAAAUGCGUAGAGAUGUGGAGGAACACCAGUGGCGAAGGCGGCUCUCUGGUCUGUAACUGACGCUGAGGCGCGAAAGCGUGGGGAGCGAACAGGAUUAGAUACCCUGGUAGUCCACGCCGUAAACGAUGAGUGCUAAGUGUUAGAGGG
rnacentral:rRNA from 1 species